rnacentral:rRNA from 1 species
GAAUGGCUCAUUACAACAGCAAUAAUUUACUUGAUCUUGACACAAUCCUACUUGGAUAACUGUGGUAAUUCUAGAGCUAAUACAUGCAUUAAAGCUCUGACCUCACGGGACGAGUGCAUUUAUUAGAACAAAACCAAGCGGCUUCGGCUGUUUUCGGUUGACUCAUAGUAACUGAGCUGAUCGCAUGGUCUUGCACCGGCGACGUGUCUUUCGAGUAUCUGCCGUAUCAACUUUCGAUGGUAGUGUAUCUGACUACCAUGGUGAUCACGCGUAACGGAGAAUAAGGGUUCGACUCCGGAGAGUUCGCCUGAGAAAUCGCGAACACAUCUAGGGAAGGCAGCAGGCGCGAAAAUUACCCACUCUCAGCACGAGGAGGUAGUGACGAAAAAUAACGAGACCGUUCUCUUUCGAGGCCGGUCAUCGGAAUGGGUACAAUUUAAACCCUUUAACGAGUAUCUAUGAGAGGGCAAGUCUGGUGCCAGCAGCCGCGGUAAUUCCAGCU